rnacentral:rRNA from 1 species
CUGGGGUGCUCGAGUGGCGAACGGGUGAGUAACACGUGGGUGAUCUGCCCUGCACUUCGGGAUAAGCUUGGAAACUGGGUCUAAUACCGGAUAGGACCAUCGUUUAGUGUCGGUGGUGGAAAGUUUUUUCGGUGUGGGAUGAGCUCGCGGCCUAUCAGCUUGUUGGUGGGGUAAUGGCCUACCAAGGCGUCGACGGGUAGCCGGCCUGAGAGGGUGUACGGCCACAUUGGGACUGAGAUACGGCCCAG